rnacentral:lncRNA from 1 species
AGAGGAACAUGAAGAUGAAGAAUAAGAAGACCUUCUCUUUUUCUUCUUGGAUCUAUGUAUCAAAUCUUUACGAUAGAGAUCAAGAGAAGAACCCUUUCUUCUCAAUUCUCUCAUGCACAAGAGAGAACCUUUCUUUCUUCUUUUUAUACCUUUAAGAAGAAUAUUUCUUCUCUGAUUUUUUAUAAUAAAAAUCAAAUCUAAUUUGAUUUUUCAUAUUAAAAAUUACAUGAAAUCUUAAGCUCU